CUGUGAGCUACCAUGUGGUUGCUGGGAAUUGAACUCAGGACCAUCUAGAAGAACAGCCAUUUCCCAUUGUAAACCAGUACAUGGAGUUCACGUAUCAAUUCCAUGACCAUUGGACAAAAUGAGUCUUUGGAACUUCCAGCCCAGAGCCAAGACCAUGGUGUAGCAAGGAUCCAAAGCCAUGAUGAGUGCAUCUACACAUCCUCAACUACAGCGGCACCAUUUCCAAGCAGUUUUGACUGGCUUUUCUUUAUUGGUGUUUCGAACUUCCUUUUCCCUUUCAUGAAGCAUAUACUGAAAAUAAAGUAGGCAAACCACUAA